UGUUCUCACUAGUCUCAUUAUAUCUGGUGAUUAUUCUUAAAGCCCUAGCUCAUGUAGUCAUAUGAACUGAUGAGAAUAUGAACUUACUCUUUUUUUCUCUCCUUUUUUUCUUCAUACAUUUAUAGCCUAUAAGGCCAGAAAAGGCCAUUGUGAUCAUCUGAUUUGACCUCCUGCGUAAACACAGGGCAUAGAACUUUCCUGAAUUAACUUCUGUUUGAACUAAAGCAUAUCUUUUUUAGAAAAACAUCCAAUCUUGAUUUCAAGUGAUGGAGAAUCCCCCGCAGCCUUUGGUACUUAAAGAUUAUGAUCAAGCCCCGCUCUCCAACCUUCGCUUUGUUAAAAUAAACAGAUUGAGCCCUGGACUCUAUCAAUUUAAGAUCAAAAGUCAUGACUUUACCAUCAGAUCUUCACAACUGCACGGAUUCACUCAAGAGGAACUAAUGAGAUGACCAGGGCCUAAAAGGGUUCAAAAGAGC